rnacentral:pre_miRNA from 1 species
UGGUAAAUUACAGGGUAGUUCACCUUUGGCACAAGCAAUAGUAGAAACCAUGCAAUGCAAAUGUAUGGCAGAUUGUACUCUAGUUCAUGCUAGUUUCUGGCAGGUAGCACGUAGCAUUGCAUGGUUCAAAGAUCACAGAUCUCAUGCCAAAGGAGAUUUGCCCUGCGAUUUUCUG